rnacentral:rRNA from 1 species
UACGAAGGGGGCUAGCGUUGCUCGGAAUCACUGGGCGUAAAGCGCACGUAGGCGGAUUGUUAAGUCAGGGGUGAAAUCCUGGAGCUCAACUCCAGAACUGCCUUUGAUACUGGCGAUCUUGAGUCCGGGAGAGGUGAGUGGAACUCCGAGUGUAGAGGUGAAAUUCGUAGAUAUUCGGAAGAACACCAGUGGCGAAGGCGGCUCACUGGACCGGCAUUGACGCUGAUGUGCGAAAGCGUGGGGAGCAAACAGG